CUGAGGAUAAGAAAACAAUCUUGCAGAAUGGUAAUUUUUACUUUCACAGAUUUUCUUUUGCUUGCUUCCUUUUUGAAGCUUUUAUCUAAAUAGCCAAAUUGAGAUUUUUUAUAGUAGUUAUUAAGCAUUUGAGAUGAAAUUUAGGUUGCAAAGGAAGGUGAUGAGAAACGGAGUAGUCUAUGUCAGAAUUAAGUUCUACAUAUUCAUUUGAUUUAAUUUUAGCCAUCAAACUACUGGUUUAGUAUCAAAAUGAUUUGCAAUGCUUGAGUUCCAAAGUUGGCAUCAAUGUGCCAAAAAAAAGUUUAUUUAUCUUAUCUUAUUAUUAAUAAGAAUUAAUUGAUUAAUGGUUUAUAACAAUGGGUUAGAUCUAAUUUUUGUUUAAAUCAGGAAAAUACGUCUUACAUUGGUAAACUUGCCGAACACAGGGCAGAGAGCUAUGUUACUUGCACUGAGAUGCCAGUGUCCACUACAUAUAUGUCUCCUACACGGUAUAGUUAGAUUUUUUAUUUCUAUAUAUUCAGUUCUUUGGAAGUUAUAUCCUCAUAUUCAUGUGUCAGAUGAGUGUUGGACAUGGAUGUUUCAGAAAGAAUGAAGGAUCCGAGCAGCAUAGCUGGCGAAGUAUGACUGUAUGAGUAGGAUUUAAAGGAGGCAAAGAAUGCUGACAGAAUGAAAAUGAAAAGUAACACUUC
rnacentral:lncRNA from 1 species